UUGAACGCUGGCGGCAGGCCUAACACAUGCAAGUCGAGCGGUAGCACAGAGAGCUUGCUCUCGGGUGACGAGCGGCGGACGGGUGAGUAAUGUCUGGGAAACUGCCUGAUGGAGGGGGAUAACUACUGGAAACGGUAGCUAAUACCGCAUAACGUCGCAAGACCAAAGUGGGGGACCUUCGGGCCUCAUGCCAUCAGAUGUGCCCAGAUGGGAUUAGCUAGUAGGUGGGGUAACGGCUCACCUAGGCGACGAUCCCUAGCUGGUCUGAGAGGAUGACCAGCCACACUGGAACUGAGACACGGUCCAGACUCCUACGGGAGGCAGCAGUGGGGAAUAUUGCACAAUGGGCGCAAGCCUGAUGCAGCCAUGCCGCGUGUGUGAAGAAGGCCUUCGGGUUGUAAAGCACUUUCAGCGGGGAGGAAGGCGAUAAGGUUAAUAACCUUGUCGAUUGACGUUACCCGCAGAAGAAGCACCGGCUAACUCCGUGCCAGCAGCCGCGGUAAUACGGAGGGUGCAAGCGUUAAUCGGAAUUACUGGGCGUAAAGCGCACGCAGGCGGUCUGUCAAGUCGGAUGUGAAAUCCCCGGGCUCAACCUGGGAACUGCAUUCGAAACUGGCAGGCUAGAGUCUUGUAGAGGGGGGUAGAAUUCCAGGUGUAGCGGUGAAAUGCGUAGAGAUCUGGAGGAAUACCGGUGGCGAAGGCGGCCCCCUGGACAAAGACUGACGCUCAGGUGCGAAAGCGUGGGGAGCAAACAGGAUUAGAUACCCUGGUAGUCCACGCCGUAAACGAUGUCGAUUUGGAGGUUGUGCCCUUGAGGCGUGGCUUCCGGAGCUAACGCGUUAAAUCGACCGCCUGGGGAGUACGGCCGCAAGGUUAAAACUCAAAUGAAUUGACGGGGGCCCGCACAAGCGGUGGAGCAUGUGGUUUAAUUCGAUGCAACGCGAAGAACCUUACCUGGUCUUGACAUCCACAGAACUUUCCAGAGAUGGAUUGGUGCCUUCGGGAACUGUGAGACAGGUGCUGCAUGGCUGUCGUCAGCUCGUGUUGUGAAAUGUUGGGUUAAGUCCCGCAACGAGCGCAUCCCUUAUCCUUUGUUGCCAGCGGUUCGGCCGGGAACUCAAAGGAGACUGCCAGUGAUAAACUGGAGGAAGGUGGGGAUGACGUCAAGUCAUCAUGGCCCUUACGACCAGGGCUACACACGUGCUACAAUGGCAUAUACAAAGAGAAGCGACCUCGCGAGAGCAAGCGGACCUCAUAAAGUAUGUCGUAGUCCGGAUUGGAGUCUGCAACUCGACUCCAUGAAGUCGGAAUCGCUAGUAAUCGUAGAUCAGAAUGCUACGGUGAAUACGUUCCCGGGCCUUGUACACACCGCCCGUCACACCAUGGGAGUGGGUUGCAAAAGAAGUAGGUAGCUUAACCUUCGGGAGGGCGCUUACCACUUUGUGAUUCAUGACUGGGGUG
rnacentral:rRNA from 1 species